UACGUAGGGACCAAGCGUUGUUCGGAUUUACUGGGCGUAAAGGGCGCGUAGGCGGCGCGGUAAGUCACUUGUGAAAUCUCUGAGCUUAACUCAGAACGGCCAAGUGAUGCUGCAGUGCUAGAGUGUGGAAGGGGCAAUCGGAAUUCUUGGUGUAGCGGUGAAAUGCGUAGAUAUCAAGAGGAACACCUGAGGUGAAGACGGGUUGCUGGGCCAACACUGACGCUGAGGCGCGAAAGCCAGGGGAGCAAACGGG
rnacentral:rRNA from 1 species